UUUUGGUCAUUGCAUGGAUGAGUGAAAGGAUUGUUGUUAAUGCAGGGCAUCAUCCAGAUCUGCAUCUGGUCGGAUGGAACAAUGUAACAGUUGAAAUUUGGACUCAUGCUGUCGGUGGACUUACGGAAAACGACUUCAUACUUGCUAGCAAGAUCAAUGCUCUCGACCUGCACCAUCUUCUCAGAAAGAAAGUUACCAGUUGAUAGGUAUCCAUGGAAUGUUAAACUAUACGCUCCUAAAAACAUGUUUUUGGUUUGUUGAAACUUACAAGUUGGAAACAACUAUGUUUUCCCUCUGCAACAUUGCUGGUUAAUCCUUUGUUCUAUUAAAUU